GACGAACGCUGGCGGCGUGCUUAACACAUGCAAGUCGAACGGAAAGGCCCUGCUUUUGUGGGGUGCUCGAGUGGCGAACGGGUGAGUAACACGUGAGUAACCUGCCCUUGACUUUGGGAUAACUUCAGGAAACUGGGGCUAAUACCGGAUAGGAGCUCCUGCUGCAUGGUGGGGGUUGGAAAGUUUCGGCGGUUGGGGAUGGACUCGCGGCUUAUCAGCUUGUUGGUGGGGUAGUGGCUUACCAAGGCUUUGACGGGUAGCCGGCCUGAGAGGGUGACCGGCCACAUUGGGACUGAGAUACGGCCCAGACUCCUACGGGAGGCAGCAGUGGAGAAGAUUGCACAAUGGGCGGAAGCCUGAUGCAGCAACGCCGCGUGCGGGAUGACGGCCUUCGGGUUGUAAACCGCUUUCGCCUGUGACGAAGCGUGAGUGACGGUAAUGGGUAAAGAAGCACCGGCUAACUACGU
rnacentral:rRNA from 1 species